GGGCUCCUGCGGCCCGGCGGCCGAGCCGGCCUGCCGCAGGGCGGGGGGCGGAGGCCGGUGCUGCCCUUUGGCGGGGAGCGCCACCGGCCCGUGGAAAGGGCACAACCCCCACGCCGCGCUUAGGGGCUUCCCCCCGCGAAAGGUCCCGGAGGACAGGACUGCUUUGUUCCCCUGGUGGGCUGUGCAGAGCGCGGCGUGAGUCGCUGUUCAGGCCGACCCGGCCGGGCCUUCCCGCGCUUCCCACGCCCCGCCCACCUCCCCUCUCCUUGCCCUGGAUAAGAAUUCCCUGCAGGGAACUGGCCCCACGUAGUGUGGCCCCCGGGAGCACGGCUAAUCCCUCAUCUUCGUUCGCUUUUCAGGGACAAGGAACGCGGAAGUUCUUUCGGUUUAGCAUGUAAGGCAAGAGCGCAGAAUCAACCUCGGGUCCCUCAAUUGACAAUCUGGCAUCCGGCAACUCCCUGUCCCGAACCGCCCUUGCUCCUCGCUUGACCUCACUCUGGUGUCCCCUCCCUCUCACGCCAUUUCCUCUCCCUCCAUUAACUGCUCUACAUUGCGAAGGGAGAGCAAAGGGGCUCUUUGAUUUGACCUUGAAUUUACCUUGCCAGGAUCCUUUUGAGUCCCGCGCGUUUCAGGAGCUUUUCAAACUUUGAAUGAAGACCCACCGUGAGAAAUAGUUUACGACUCCAGACUUGGAAAUAACAACGGGGCACGUGUGGUCCGGAGAGCGUGAAGUGACGCGUCUGAGACUCGCCCGCCUUCUGUGGCAGAACCGGAACUAGAAUUUCCGUCUCCUGACAUCAAGCCCACUGCCCUUUUGUGGCCGUCUGAGGGAAGGGCAGCCAGGAAAAUAAAUAAAAACGAAGAAGGUAGGAUGCUGGUCCACCUCGAGCUCCCCGUGACCCAUUCCAGACCUGAAGGUAAAGCAGUGGGAGAAACACUGGAUUGGACAGCUAAGGAGCUCCUUGGUCUGAUCUUGGCCUUGCCAUUCAACACUUGAUCUUCCUGACCUGGAAUAACUAAUUUUCUCCCCUGGCUUCCUCUUGCUCAUCGGUCAAACAGGGAAAAUGUCAUUGACCUGGAUGGCAUGAUGUGUGACACCACUCUACAAGCGAAUGAUUUAAGUAGCUUGAGUUUUCUCAAGUUCAUCGUGAUGAUUUCGGGCCGGUAGGGCAAGAAAUCAACGUCAACUCCCAUUUGGAGAGACUCUUGGGGUUUCAAUUAUUCCCCCUCUGGUGUUACCUGUUAAUUUACACAGAAUUUAUUCUACUUGGAAAGCUAUCUCCUUAAUCUCUUCUUGCUAUUCGAACGAUGACUGGGAUAGGGACCGACAUGGACAUGGAAAGGAUAACAUGGAAAGUUACCGAAGGAAAGGAUUACAGUAAAUAGGUGAUGCUGGCCAAUGGACCAUGAAUACGCUGGAAUGUCUAUUUUUCUAGAACUUGGCAAAACUGUGUUUGACUGCAGGCUUUGCCGCCAGAUACAAAAAGGCAUACAGCUGUCACAAGGAGGGCACUGCACACAAAGUCUCAGCUGUAAACACCACUUCAAAAUAUAAACUCGCUCUUUGGAAUGCAUUGUGUCAAAGGCUUCCCAUAUGAAUACCGUUGUUAUAAAACGGCGACAUUUCCUUUGAUAAGCAGACAAAACGCACCCGGUUAUCUUACACACAUUUCCAUCUCCUUGUAGCAAUUCCCGUCUCUACCUGCGCUACUCUCAUCCACCCAGGCACAGGCCACUUCUAUUCCUUCACAAGGGCGGAGGAGACUGGGCUUGGGCCGUGUGACUUGCAUGGCCAUCAGCAAACGUGGUGCGGAGACUUGAUAGGUGAUGUACAAAAGUGAGCCCUUCCUCCUUGGAACCCAGCUGCCAUGCUUUAAGAAAGCCAGUCUAACCGGCUAGCAGAUGAGAAACUCCGCACUCUCGCUGACCAACGCCAACUUCCGGAAGUGUGAAUGAAACCGUCUUGGAUGUUUCUAUUUCGGUCCCAGGAGAGCUCCCAUCUGUUUGCAGCCGCUGAAUGAGCGACCCAGGUGAAUGAAUGACCUUGGUCAAUAUCGCCCGGAGGAGGGAAACCACCCAGCCGAGCGCAGAUAGUACACAGAAUCGUGGCACAUAAUAAAUGGUUAUUGUUUGGA